rnacentral:tRNA from 1 species
UCCCUAGUGGCUAAAUGGUAAAGAAUCUCCCUGCAAUGCAGGAGACCCAGGUUCAAACCCUGGGUCAGGAA